GUGAGGAAUAUUGCGCAAUGGAGGCAACUCUGUCGCAGCCAUGCCGCGUGCAGGAAGAAGGCGCUACGCGUUGUAAACUGCUUUUAACCGGGAAGAAACCCCAGGACGUGUCCUGGGUUGACGGUACCGGAGGAAUAAGCACCGGCUAACUUCGUGCCAGCAGCCGCGGUAAUACGAAGGGUGCAAGCGUUAUCCGGAUUCAUUGGGUUUAAAGGGUGCGUAGGCGGAGCGUUAAGUCAGUGGUGAAAUCCUGCAGCUUAACUGUAGACUUGCCAUUGAUACUGGCGCUCUUGAGUGCGCUUGAAGUGGGCGGAAUGUGCCGUGUAGCGGUGAAAUGCUUAGAUAUGGCACAGAACACCGAUUGCGAAGGCAGCUGACUAAUACACAACUGACGCUGAGGGACGAAAGUGUGGGGAUCAAACAGGAUUAGAAACCCGGGUAGUCC
rnacentral:rRNA from 1 species